GACGAACGCUGGCGGCGUGCUUAACACAUGCAAGUCGAACGAAGAGCGACGGAAGCUUGCUUCUAUCAUUCUUAGUGGCGAACGGGUGAGUAACGCGUAAUCAACCUGCCCUUCAGAGGGGGACAACAGUUGGAAACGACUGUUAAUACCGCAUACGAUCUAACCUCGGCAUCGAGGAUAGAUGAAAGGUGGCCUCUACAUGUAAGCUAUCACUGAAGGAGGGGAUUGCGUCUGAUUAGCUAGUUGGAGGGGUAACGGCCCACCAAGGCGAUGAGCAGUAGCCGGUCUGAGAGGAUGAACGGCCACAUUGGGACUGAGACACGGCCCAGACUCCUACGGGAGGCAGCAGUGGGGAAUCUUCCGCAAUGGACGAAAGUCUGACGGAGCAACGCCGCGUGAGUGAUGACGGCCUUCGGGUUGUAAAGCUCUGUUAAUCGGGACGAAAGGCCUUCUUGCGAAUAGUGAGAAGGAUUGACGGUACCGGAAUAGAAAGCCACGGCUAACUACGUG
rnacentral:rRNA from 1 species